rnacentral:rRNA from 1 species
GCACAGUGGGCGCAAGCCUGAUGCAGCCAUGCCGCGUUGUAUAGGAAGAAGGCCGUUCGGGUUGUAAAGUACUUUCAGCAGUGAGGAAGGUGGGUAUGUUAAUAGCAUAUUACAUUUCGACGUUAGCUGCAGAAGAAGCACCGGCUAACUCCGUGCCAGCAGCCGCGGUAAUACGGAGGGUGCGAGCGUUAAUCGGAAUUACUGGGCGUAAAGCGCAUGCAGGUGGUUUGUUAAAGUCAGAUGUGAAAGCCCCGGGGCUCAACCUCGGAAUUGCAUUUGAAACUGGCAAACUAGAGUACUGUAGAGGGGGUAGAAUUUCAGGUGUAGCGGUGAAAUGCGUAGAGAUCUGAAGGAAUACCGGUGGCGAAGGCGGCCCCCCUGGACAGAUACUGACACUCAGAUGCGAAAGCGUGGGGAGCAAACAGGAUUAGAUAACCUCGGUAG